AUUAGUGAGUAUAGUGUUAGAUGGUAGGGUAUUUAUUCAGUACAUUUGUUUCUUUUUCAAGUAAAGUAUAAGGGAGUUGUACUCCAGGCUAGUAGGUGGCGGUAAUGCAACAAAUUGGAUGCCAACCGGCGUUAAACCUCAGAAGAAGAAGAUUGUUUGGAACGUCAUUAGACGGAAAAGGAAGAACGUCAUUAGACGGAAGAGGAAGGAAAGUGUGUUUGAAACUAAAAUCGCUAGUAACAACCAGCAUCAAACGUAACAUUGCUUGUCAAAUGGAUAUCAUUUCUCGUUAUGGUUUGUAGUUAUGCUGGCUUUGCUUCUGCUGUCUUUCUACAACAUCCGAAGUUUCCCUGGCACACAAACGUACUUGUUUCAUUUCGAAUGCUGGGCCGGACAGGAAAAUGGUCCAAUUCACACACUGAUCAAGACAACAUCCCUGGUCCUCCCUACUGCCUCUGAUCUGGAGGACUCACUAAACAGAGAACAUCCCUGGUCAUCCCUACUGCCUCUGAUCUGGAGGACUCACUAAACAGAGAACAUCCCUGGUCAUCCCUACUGCCUCUGAUCUGGAGGACUCACUAAACAGAGAACAUCCCUGGUCAUCCCUACUGCCUCUGAUCUGGAGGACUCACUAAACACAUGCUUCAUUUGUAAAUGAUGUCUGAUUGUUGGAGUGUUCCCCUGGUUAUUUCUUAAAUAAAAUGACAAGAGAAUCGUGCUGUCUGGUUUGCUUAAUAUAUGGAAGGUCAAAUCAUUUAUACUUUUACCACUGAUACUUAAGUAUAUUUUAGCAAUGACGUUUACUUAGUAUUUUACUGGGUGACUUUCACUUUUACUUGAGUCAUUUUCUAUUAACAUAUUAUUAUUGUACCUUUUUCCCUUCAUUUGCCUACUACUGUCUAUAAGCUGUCAUAACAUGUGGGUUUUUUCAUGGGGACCAGGUAUCGGAACGCCUUUGAAGGGUCUACAAAGCCCCCAGGUAAAAGUUGGCUUUUGCAGACAAGGAUUGUAUUGUUACUCCACGACAUAAUAUGUUAUCACAACUCUAUUAAAAGGACAUUCUACACAAGGUGUCACUUCAUUCCUUCUAUUUGAUGGGAACUCCUGGUUAGGAAUGGGGAACGAGUGCUAUCUCUCUGGGGAAUAAAACAUGUUUAUACCUAUGCAGUACCUUUAGCAAUAAUAAACCUCUACUUUAGUAAAGAAAACAAUUAUGACAGGUGUGUUGUAAUAAAAAUGAGUGGUGUCCACUGACUAAAUGCAGUCUUUCUGGAAAACCCAGAUAUUCACAAAGUGUUUGAUGAAUGACACGUUGCUUCUUCAUGCAAAAUAGAUUUGGACUUUAAAAUUCAAUUAAGCUGCUUUAUUUUCAGGGUUUAGUGAAGGUGGGUCAUUUUUUACCCUUGGGACAAUGGGAGUAAACAGACUGUUAAGACUACACAAGGGUUAAGUCAAGUAUUUACAAGGUGUCUAGUCAUUUCUGGUCGUUAAUGUCUAAUUGACCACACAUUAGUGCAAGUUGAAGUGUUGUCAGUGCUACACAGCUGUCUGUAGUCUAGGUGCUCGUUAUAAGUGCUUGAAAUCAUAGAUUGCCGUGUUCCAGAGCAUCAAGACUGUGAUCGAAGGGUGAAUUGUGACUGAAUUACUGAGCUACAAAUAAUAUUAAGUGGUUAAUUAUAAGUCAAGGUUACUCUACAUCACUCUCGACUCGCCUUAAAAGUCAUCUGCAAUGUGGAACCUCCAACAAUUCAUUGACACAGUUGUGACUGACUCCUUCAUAGCCGUCGGCCAGCUCUUUCACAUCAACCAUCUAAUUGAGGUGAAAGGACGUGACCCUCCAAUCUAAAAUGUAA